UUCUCCAUGAGGUUUUGAAAGCUUAGAGGAUGAGAUGGAAAACCAAAGUGAGGCUGAUGAAACAAGUGAGAGCAUGUACAUAUGUGUGUGUAUAUAUAUGUAAGUUGAAUUUAUUUUAUUUGCCUUUUGAGACAAUGAGGAAAGCUCAGCUGUCAAGAAACAGGGAUGCUAAUCCUCAUUCAGUCAUUACUAACAAACUGAUAUGCAACUAAAAAACCAAUGUGGAAAAGAGAACAAAAAAGGAGUGAGAAGAGAAGAGAAAGGGAAGAAAAAGGAAGAAAUGGAGAAAAGAAGAGAGGGAGAGAGUGUUAGUUUUUAAAAGCUGACAUUUUAAACUCUAUGGAAGAACAUCACCCCAUAAUACUUGAAAGAAAAUAUAAAAUCAUUUUGGUAUUUGAAGAAAUGGUAAAUGUGACAGAUUAAGAAUUACUGUAAGAAAGAUGGAUCUAUACAGAAAUACUAUUAAGAGUCAAACACCAGCAUGGUGGAAACUAUUUGAGAUUAUCUAGUAAAAGACUUGCAGAAAGGCAAAGGAAGAUGUCAUCAAUAUAGAGCUGGUAUGCUAUAUAUGAGUAUCUGGGUGAUACGGUUUAUAGACUUCAAGGUCUGGCAUCAGGAAGACUCUUUUUUUUUUAAUUUCAAACCUAGCUUCAGAUAUUUACUAACUAUGUGACUCUUGGCAAUUUAUUUAACCCUUUGUUAUUGAAAACAAUAAUGAAAAGGUUAUGGUCAUACAAGCAGUGCAAAAGACAAAAAUGAAAACACUUCA
rnacentral:lncRNA from 1 species